UACGGGGGGGGGCAAGCGUUGUUCGGAAUUACUGGGCGUAAAGGGCUCGUAGGCGGCCAACUAAGUCGGACGUGAAAUCCCCAGGCUCAACCUGGGAACUGCGUCCGAUACUGGAUGGCUUGAAUUCGGGAGAGGGAUGCAGAAUUCCAGGUGUAGCGGUGAAAUUCGUAGAUAUUCGGAAGAACACCAGUGGCGAAGGCGGCUCACUGGACUGGUAUUGACGCUAAGGUGCGGAAAGCGUGGGGGAGCAAACAGG
rnacentral:rRNA from 1 species